GGCCGCCAUUGCUCGACGCUGAGCUUGGGUCCCUUGGUCCAGGGAGGAGGCAACUACUGCUGCUGCCUCCGCGGCGGCGGCGGUGGGGAGGGAGGAGUCCGGCUGCGCGGCUCGCUCCCCGCCUGCCUGCCCGCGGCUCGGCUCUUCAGCGCGCGCUCUCCCUCCCUCACCCCUCUCCUCUCCCACUGUCUUCCUUCCUUGCUUGCUUGCUUGCUUGCUUCCUUCCUUCCUUCCUUUCUUCCUCCUCCGAGAGACUGGGGCUUAGCGCCUAGCCUGCAGAUGCCCCCAUGGAGGCAGCCCCGCUGCUGCUGCUGUUGCUGCCGCCGCCUCUGCUGCUGCUGCUGCUGCCGCCGCCGCCGCUGCAGGCAGCCCCGGGAGCGGCGUGAGCCUGUCAGCGGGAGUGGGACAUAGGGGGCAGCGGAGAGCGAGGUGGAGGCUGGGGAGCUCCAGCUGGGACCGUCGUGUGCCCCCACCGCGGCCGGCAACGUCCGGACCCGCCGCCGCCGGCGGCUCUUCCACCUGGCGCGGAGUGGAGUUUUGCAAAGUGCCGGUUUCUGGCUCUGCGGGUGUGAGAGCGAAAGCUAGAGAACGAAUGUGCGAGUGUGAGAGCGAGGGAGCGAAUGUGUGUGUGUGCGUGUGCGCGCGAGAGUGAGUGAGUGUGGUUGGAUGUGUAUGCCUGUAUGUGUGCGCGCGUGUGUAUGUGUGUGUGUGUGUGUGUGUGUGUGUGUGUGUGUGUGUGCGUGCGCCGUCCUUCCCCCGCCCGCCGCUGCCCGGUCUAGCUAGACACCCGGGCAAGAGCCUAGGGCCCUGGGGCUGGGACAGUUCAGGCAGCAGCGCCACCAGCCCCAGCGCUGCGCACCCUUCCCCGGCCUGGGGUCAAGACUCGGGCGGGACCUUCUCUGGGCAGCGUCACAGCAGCCCGGCGGGGGCAAAGAACUGGGGCUUUCGGACAGCGCCUGGGGCCUGUGUCGGGGAAGGACCUAAGAAAGGAAGGUAUGCUUCGCGACCAGGGAGAGAGGACCACCAGAGAGGGAGCCCAGCUGUGUGAAUCUGGAUAGCUUCAGCAUCCCAACCCUGAAAGUCUACUAUCGUGGCAUUUCUGCCAGCCUCAAAGCCCGGGGCGGCACUAGGAGGUCGAGAGAGACGGCAGCCUGGACCUGCCUUAACCAAAGGACUUCUUUUCAACCAGCUAGCUGGAAAAAGAUGAGGAAACCGACUCAGUAUGUCUAUGGGGCUUGUCAUAUGGUCAGUGGCAAAGAUGGCAUUCAAACCUAGAUUUCCAACUCUAAAUUCAGUGAUGUUCCUGGACUACAACAGGUUGCCUAUCAAGAUCUGACUAGCAGGAAAUGCAUCAUAUUUGGACCUCGGGGUUUCUGCAUUCUGUCCCCAUCCUCUCACGAAAUCCUUGACGCAGGAAUCCAGCAAGCACCCCUAGCUAGGGCCCCAUUUUCGUAAGACCCAGACUAUCAUCUCUCCAGGAGUCAACUGAAUCCCCUGGAGACAAUUCCUAACAUGGUGGAGAAUAAAUCCCUGUUUGAGAUUUGUGGCAUUUCCUUUCCCUCCUAUGUCUUCUUGCUCCUCAUGCUCUCUUCCCUCCUCCCACUCAAAGACUCAUAAAUCAGAUAUUCAACCUAUAGAUUUAAGUGUGAACACAGAGAAAUAAGGCACUGGUUCCUCUCCCCUCCCAAUCCGAGAUUUGGGAGGUGAAGAAUGGAAGAAAGGCAGAUCUGAGCUUUCCAAUCCCUCCCUCUGAGGCACCACCUAAUCUCAUGAGCAGAGAAGAAACCAGCAAGGAAUGAAUCACGAUGCCUCUGUGACAAUUAGAAUUAAGCAUAAGGUGGUUUUUAUAGCCAGUGGGUGUUUGAAUGUCUUCAAGUUUUAUGACCCAUUUCCCAAUUCACUCCCCCUCCCCCACACUCAGAGGGUUCAGUCCCUCCACUCCUUCGGGCAAUGGGAAAGGUGAGGGAAGUGGUAAUGAAGAAAGAAUCGAAGACUCGCCAUCUGCCUCCUUCCUAACUGAUUUUCCUUGACCUCCAUUAUAGUCAUUCUGGUGUGUUCCAAUUACUUCCAAAUCCCCAGUGUUGCAGGUAAAAAAGUAAAACUGAUCCAGCAGGGAAGCUAACCGAAUCACCCUUCCUUUUGCCAUCCCACCCCUCGCUCUCACCUUCACCCUUUACAUCCAAAGUUUAUCUUGUUAAGAAGAAAAGAGCUUCCUUGAACACGAAGAGACAAACUUGGAUAGGAGUUGGCUUGGCUUGAGGUUUUUAUGUUUUUUUUUUUUUAGUAAAGCCAGUUAACAUUAAUAAACUACAGACUUAGAACAACCAUCACUGUUGGUAACAGCUGAAUGCUAGCAACCAUCCCCAGCAAGAGGGGAAAAAAGAGUUGAAUAUCCUGUUUACAUUUCUAGUUUGAUUUGUUAACAUGAGUCAGGUGUCAUUAGAGUAUUGACUGAGCCUGGGGUCCCUGCUGUGAAUCAAUCCCAACCAGUUUUGAUUAAUGACUCAUUGUCAACCAGGAAGGAGGUCUCUCUGUACAGCACAGUGCCCCAUCCUUCGUUCUGUCCUGU